rnacentral:lncRNA from 1 species
UGAAACCAGUGAUCGAUUCAACGCAUUCAAAGCAAGCGAAAUCCAAAGCGACGAGGAAGAAGAUGACAAGCCAAUCUCAUUCUACAUGAGACGGAUCGAGGGUGCUGAUGGAAAAACCGACAACCUUGAAAGUCUGGCUAAUACAAGCAAUAAUAGUUUACACAGGGGAAAAUCAGGAGCUGGGUAUGCAGAAGAGCAUCAGCUGUUUCCUGCUUCGUUUAAGAUGUGUGACCUAAAUUUAGGGGGAGCGGCGGAUGCUAAUGAUGGCAAAAGAGAAUCUGGUCAAGCUGUUGGUUUUGAUCUAUCAAUCAGCAGUUCUAGCAAGUCUCUUGAUUUCAGUACUAAUACUAGGAUGAGCAAUGGUAAAGAGAUAGAAGUGAUUGAUUUGGACAAUGAUGAUUCCCCAGAAGUGGUCAAGUCCAGCAACAACCCUGGGCGAAAGUACUGCUAUGUCCCUAUCUACACCUAUAUACACACAUGUUUUAAAUAUAUAUUGGCUAAUGAGUUGUUGACUGAAACAUUUAACAGGCAAGAAGUUUGUGGAUGUUUUGGCUCCUGCCGCUGAUAAAAGGAGGUAUGUCGAUGGGUAUAACUCAGCUGGCUCUAGGAACAAUUUGGGAGGAAAGAGGUCUAAUCGUUAUGAAUCGGAUUUUGGGAGGAGUGGAUCUUGGUCUGAGAGGAGUAAAGGUUACGAGGCCGAGACUGGUGACGACUCUGUGUCUGGGCAUAGAGAAGAGCAGCCGCUAGUUGAAGAUAUUGCUAGCUCGGUUCAGAGGUCAGCCUCUGGUGAAUUUAUGAGAAAGCGUGAAGGAGCGGGUGAUUCCGAGUCUGUGUUGGACAAGGAUGAGGCACAGUCUAAGACAGGUUCCUCCAGUGCUGGGAAAGAAAUUGUACAGGAUUGUGAGAUCUCAAAAGUGUCCGAAGGUUCUUGUAGCUUGAGUGCUGGAUCAGGGGAGGUGAAAGGGAUGACUGGUGGUAGUGGUGGAGAGAAUGAGAGCCAGACUGCUAUCGAAGAUGCGUCUAUCCAUCAACAUGAGGAAGAUGCACCUAUCCAUCGACAUUGUGCUGCUGAUGAAUCGUUCACCGAGAGUGGUAUUGAUUUGGCAACGCUGUGUAAGUUUGAGAAGGUGCCUACGAGGACGCGCUCUUCUGUGACUGCUAAAAACACCAAGCUGCAUCUGAGUCAAAAUAUCAAGGAAACCUCUCGUAAUCCUGGAAUUCUAGAAGAAGAUCAAGCAUGUGAGACUCGAGGCAAGUCAUCUGGAGCUGAUAGUACUGGGGAUGAAAAUUUGAACGACCAAGUUGAAGAUUUGCCUCUUGUUCAGUUCGUUGAGGACAGUAAAUGCCAUAGGUCUAAUUCUUUCCCCAAUAGCAUUCUCAGGGAAAAUAACGAGAAAGAUUCAGAGUUAGAAUUGGCUGAUAUCCAUAGAUCAUAUUCGAUGGGGAAAGGAGGCGAGAAGCGAGCUAAUGAAGGCAGUGACUUGGAAGAGGAAGCAAAAAGACAGAAAAGUUGGGUGCCUCUGCCAGUUUCUGAAACCAGUGAUCGAUUCAACGCAUUCAAAGCAAGCGAAAUCCAAAGCGACGAGGAAGAAGAUGACAAGCCAAUCUCAUUCUACAUGAGACGGAUCGAGGGUGCUGAUGGAAAAACCGACAACCUUGAAAGUCUGGCUAAUACAAGCAAUAAUAGUUUACACAGGGGAAAAUCAGGAGCUGGGUAUGCAGAAGAGCAUCAGCUGUUUCCUGCUUCGUUUAAGAUGUGUGACCUAAAUUUAGGGGGAGCGGCGGAUGCUAAUGAUGGCAAAAGAGAAUCUGGUCAAGCUGUUGGUUUUGAUCUAUCAAUCAGCAGUUCUAGCAAGUCUCUUGAUUUCAGUACUAAUACUAGGAUGAGCAAUGGUAAAGAGAUAGAAGUGAUUGAUUUGGACAAUGAUGAUUCCCCAGAAGUGGUCAAGUCCAGCAACAACCCUGGGCGAAAGUACUGCUAUGUCCCUAUCUACACCUAUAUACACACAUGUUUUAAAUAUAUAUUGGCUAAUGAGUUGUUGACUGAAACAUUUAACAGGCAAGAAGUUUCCCCCUAUAU